rnacentral:rRNA from 1 species
GAGUUUGAUCAUGGCUCAGAUUGAACGCUGGCGGCAUGCCUAACACAUGCAAGUCGAACGGGAGUAGCAAUACUCUAGUGGCGGACGGGUGAGGAAUACGUAGGAAUUUGCCCUUAAGUGGGGGAUAACCCGGGGAAACCCGGAUUAAUACCGCAUGAUCUCGAAAGAGCAAAGUGGGGGAUCGCAAGACCUUGCGCGGACGGAGCGGCCGAUGGCAGAUUAGGUAGUUGGUGAGGUAAAGGCUCACCAAGCCUUCGAUCUGUAGCUGGUCUGAGAGGACGACCAGCCACACUGGGACUGAGACACGGCCCAGACUCCUACGGGAGGCAGCAGUGGGGAAUUUUGGACAAUGGGCGCAAGCCUGAUCCAGCCAUGCCGCGUGCAGGAUGAAGGCCUUCGGGUUGUAAACUGCUUUUGUACGGAACGAAAAGGUUCUCUCUAAUACAGGGAGCUCAUGACGGUACCGUAAGAAUAAGCACCGGCUAACUACGUGCCAGCAGCCGCGGUAAUACG